rnacentral:rRNA from 1 species
GUGAACAAUUAAGGGCGCGCGGUGGAUGCCUAGGCUCUCGGAGGCGAUGAAGGACGCGAUAAGCCGCGAUAGGCCACGGCGAGGUGCAAGUAACCCUUGACCCGUGGAUUUCCGAAUGGGGCAACCCGGCCGUCUAGAUGACGGUCAUGCAGUAAUGCAAGCGAACGCGGGGAACUGAAACAUCUCAUUACCCGCAGGAGAAGAAAACAAAAUGUGAUUCCCCCAGUAGUGGCGAGCGAACGGGGAAGAGCCCAAACCGUUGCCGUUUCGGCGACAGCGGGGUCAUGGGACCGCGACAUUCGACGGAAGACGAAGUGCAAUUACCUGGAAAGGUAAGCCGUGGAGGGUGACAGCCCCGUGCACGACACCUCUUUCGAAGAUAGCGGUAUCCCGAGUAGGGCGGGACACGAGAAAUCCUGCCUGAAUUCGCCAGGACCGCCUGGCAAGGCUAAAUACUCCCGAGAGACCGAUAGUGAACCAGUACCGCGAGGGAAAGGUGAAAAGUACCCCGAGCAGGGGGGUGAAAUAGACCCUGAACCCGCGCGCCUACAAGCGGUCGGAGCCGGGUAAUCCGGUGACGGCGUGCCUUUUGCAUAAUGAGCCUACGAGUUAGUCGUCACCAGCGAGGUUAAGGGCUUCAGGCCCGUUAGCCGAAGUGAAAGCGAGCCUUAACAGGGCGUCGAGUUGGUGGCGCUAGACGCGAAACCUUGUGAUCUACCCACGAGCAGGUUGAAGUCGCGGUAACACGUGAUGGAGGACCGAACCGGUAAACGUUGAAAAGUUUUCGGAUGACUCGCGGGUAGGGGUGAAAGGCCAAUCAAACUGGGAAAUAGCUCGUACUCUCCGAAAUGCAUUUCGGUGCAGCCUGUGAUGUUCUGUUCCAGAGGUAGAGCUACUGGUUGGACGCGAGGGCUUCACCGCCUAUCAAAUCCGGAUAAACUCCGAAUGCUGGAACACGAAAUCAUGGAGUGAGCCCGCGGGUGCUAAGGUCCGCGGACGAGAGGGAAAGAACCCGGACCACCGGCUAAGGUCCCGGAUGGACAGUUAAGUUGAUCAAACGAGGUGGGAUCGCGGAGACAGCUAGGAUGUUGGCUUGGAAGCAGCCAUUCAUUUAAAGAGUGCGUAACAGCUCACUAGUCGAGCGAUCCCGCGUGGAUAAUACACGGGCAUCAAACUGUCAACCGAAGCCGUGGGGUUAGUGAUGAGCUAACCGGUAGGAGAGCAUUCCUGCCAGCUUAGAAGGUCACCCGCGAGAGUGACUGGAGCGGCAUGAAAAGCAAAUGUAGGCAUAAGUAACGAUAAUGGGGGCGAGAACCCCCCACGCCGCAAGACCAAGGAUUCCCCGGCAAUGUCAAUCAGCCGGGGGUCAGCCGGCCUCUAAGGCUCACCCGAAAGGGGAUGCCGACGAGAAACGGGUUAACAUUCCCGUGCUUCUCGUCACCGUGACGCGGUGACGGGGUGAUGAAUGGACCGCGCGCUGACGGAAUAGCGCGUUGAAGGCCGUACCCUUUGACGGUGGUAGUCAAGCACGCCACCGGAGGCGAGAGCCGAUAGUACCACGAGACCCCGGUCGAGUGGAUAGCGUCCAGGCAAUUUACCCCCUAGAAAACCCGCUAAACUUCAAGUGACGAGGAACCGUACUGUAAACGGACACACGUGGUCGGGUAGAAUAUACCAAGGCGCUCGAGUGAUUCAUGGUCAAGGAACUAGGCAAAAUAGUCCUGUAACUUAGGGAUAAAGGACGCUCUAGUGAUAGAGCCGCAGAGUAAUGGCCCAGGCGACUGUUUACCAAAAACACAUGGCUAUGCCAAAUCGAAAGAUGACGUAUAUGGCCUGACACCUGCCCGGUGCCGGAAGGUUAAGAGGAGAGCUCAUCGGAAACGAGAAGGUUUGAAUUGAAGCCCCGGUAAACGGCGGCCGUAACUAUAACGGUCCUAAGGUAGCGAAAUUCCUUGUCGGGUAAGUUC